CAGUCGCCGCGGGAAUACAGAGGGUGCAAGCGUUAAUCGGAAUUACUGGGCGUAAAGCGCGCGUAGGUGGUUUGUUAAGUUGGAUGUGAAAUCCCCGGGCUCAACAUGGGAACUGCAUCCAAAACUGGCAAGCUAGAGUAUGGUAGAGGGUGGUGGAAUUUCCUGUGUAGCGGUGAAAUGCGUAGAUAUAGGAAGGAACACCAGUGGCGAAGGCGACCACCUGGACUGAUACUGACACUGAGGUGCGAAAGCGUGGGGAGCAAACAGGAUUAGAUACCCCUGUAGUCCCUGUCUCUUAUAC
rnacentral:rRNA from 1 species